rnacentral:rRNA from 1 species
GAUGAACGCUGGCGGCGUGCCUAAUACAUGCAAGUCGAGCGAACGGACGAGAAGCCUGCUUCUCUGAUGUUAGCGGCGGACGGGUGAGUAACACGUGGAUAACCUACCUAUAAGACUGGGAUGACUUCGGGAAACCGGAGCUAAUACCGGAUAAUAUUUUGAACCGCAUGGUUCAAAAGUGAAAGACGGUCUUGCUGUCACUUAUAGAUGGGUCCGCGCUGCAUUAGCUAGUUGGUAAGGUAACGGCUUACCAAGGCAACGAUGCAUAGCCGACCUGAGAGGGUGAUCGGCCACACUGGAACUGAGACACGGUCCAGACUCCUACGGGAGGCAGCAGUAGGGAAUCUUCCGCAAUGGGCGAAAGCCUGACGGAGCAACGCCGCGUGAGUGAUGAAGGUCUUCGGAUCGUAAAACUCUGUUAUUAGGGAAGAACAUAUGUGUAAGUAACUGUGCACAUCUUGACGGUACCUAAUCAGAAAGCCACGGCUAACUACGUG